rnacentral:rRNA from 1 species
GUGCCAGCAGCCGCGGUAAUUCCAGCUCCAAUAGCGUAUAUUAAAGUUGUUGUGGUUAAAAAGCUCGUAGUUGAACCUUGGGCCUGGCUGGCCGGUCCGCCUCACCGCGUGCACUGGUCCGGCCGGGCCUUUCCCUCUGUGGAACCCCAUACCCUUCACUGGGCGUGGCGGGGAAACAGGACAUUUACUUUGAAAAAAUUAGAGUGCUCCAGGCAGGCCUAUGCUCGAAUACAUUAGCAUGGAAUAAUAAAAUAGGACGCGCGGUUCUAUUUUGUUGGUUUAUAGGACCGCCGUAAUGAUUAAUAGGGACAGUCGGGGGCAUCAGUAUUCAACUGUCAGAGGUGAAAUUCUUGGAUCAGUUGAAGACUAACUACUGCGAAAGCAUUUGCCAAGGAUGUUUUCAUUAAUCAGGAACGAAAGUUAGGGGAUCGAAGACGAUCAGAUACCGUCGUAGUCUUAACCAUAAACUAUGCCGACUAGGGAUCGGACGGUGUUAUUCAUGACCCGUUCGGCACCUUACGAGAAAUCAAAGUGCUUGGGCUCCAGGGGGAGUAUGGUCGCAAGGCUGAAACUUAAAGAAAUUGACGGAAGGGCACCACCAGGGGUGGAGCCUGCGGCUUAAUUUGACUCAACACGGGGAAACUCACCAGGUCCAGACACAAUAAGGAUUGACAGAUUGAGAGCUCUUUCUUGAUUUUGUGGGUGGUGUGCAUGGACGUUCUUAGUUGGUGGGGUGACUUGUCUGCUUAAUUGCGAUACGAACGAGACCUUAACCUGCUAAAUAGCCCGCAUUGCUCCGGCAGUGCGCUGGCUUCUUAGAGGGACUUUCCGGCUCAAGCCGAAGGAAGUUUGAGGCAUUAACAA